UUUAUUGAUGGCCGGCUGAAAAUGCUUGACCAGGGCAAAGAGCCGGAUGACGUGUUUGAGGAAGAGGUGCUUCAGUGUGGUGCUUCAUCUGGUGCGUGUUUACGUUCGUAACAAAAUCAGACUUGUUUGUUAGUUUGAUCAUUUUAACACCCCUUCUGUUCGUGAUUCCUCUCAGGUGGCUCUAAACUGCGAAGGCAAUGGGUGGGAAAUUUAAAGGUACGUUUUACUCGUACAGGAAAUAUAUCUCUAGAAGACAACCAUUGCAGUAUGCAUACAGUGCACACUAUUUUCAGUAUACAAACAUUACAUACACUUUCUAGUACAGUAAUGUUCAGUUUACAGCAGAGCAUGCUUGACCCUCCAUUUCCAGUCAGACAAAUAAACUAGAAUGAACACCAAAAAGUUUUUUUUUUUCUUUAUUACUCAUGAUUGACUUCCAUUUUUUUUUUUUUUUUUUUUUUUUUUUUUUUUUUUUUUUUUUUUAAAAAAUUUUUUUUUUUUUUUUUACAAAAAGGGGGGGGGUAUUUUUUUUUUAUUUAGGAGAUAAAAGAANNNNNNNNNNNNNNNNNNNNNNNNNNNNNNNNNNNNNNNNNNNNNNNNNNNNNNNNNNNNNNNNNNNNNNNNNNNNNNNNNNNNNNNNNNNNNNNNNNNNNNNNNNNNNNNNNNNNNNNNNNAAAAAAAAAAAAAAAAAAAAAUCUAAUCUUUGUUUAACAUAAAUCGUAUGUUUAACAAUCGUAUUAAUUUGUAAUGUGCUGUUGUGCAUUAUUAAACAUAACAUGAAUACGUUCUUGCAUGACAUAAUUCUCUUUAUAUCUCAGACCAAAUACCACAGCAAAUUUGGGCUGAAAAACCUCCUGUCAUCAAAAGUGAGUUUAUAUUCCUUAUAUUGCAUCUGCUUCCAUUGUGUGUACUAAAUUUGUGAUUUAAUGCACAUCUCUGUCUGUUUAUGUUUGAUUGUUGGCACUUUCAGGACCAAAGUGAAGCUCAUAUGCUACAGAGGGGCGGGUCUGUGUGUGAACCGCACACGUAUCGCCUCCUCCAAUCAGACUGCCUUCAGAAUCGUCUACCAAUCACACAGCACUUUGGCAGGUCUCGACCACGCCGGCCGACACGCAAGCAUCCCAGCCACCAGGGCAAUGAACAACAGACAGAGGAUGACAACACCACCUAUGAGGACAGUGUAACAGAAAGUCCUGAGCAGUGCUCUGGCACCAGCGACUUACAGGAAGAGGAUGAUCUCUCUCUUUUGGCUGACCCAGAGGAGAUGGACCUGCUCGGUGAGAUCUUCGACACACUGAGUUCCCAGAGCUCCAGAGAGCCAGGUUUACUGUACGGCACACGCAGCCUCGACCUCUUCAGUUCCGACAGCAGUGAAUUCAUCUCACAUAAAAGUCUGACCAACCCAAGUCAGGAGAGUCUAAGUCCCUCUUUUGGAAACAGCGGAAGUCUUGUGAGCUGGGGGGAGGAGCUAGAGGAGGGGCCUGGUGAUGAGGGGGAGGAGCCUGAUGUCCUGAUUGACAGGCCAGAAAAUGAGCUUAAUGAAUUAGAGAAGGACUUGACUGAGUUAGGGGAAAAUCUGUGUUCAGAUCUACAAAUUCUAGAAGAUGCUUCUCUGGAUCCCGAAGUGGGUUCUCAGGAGCAGCAAAAGGACAGCUGGCUGAUAAAUGAUGGACAAAUGAACGGAACAAUGGAGGAAAGCUUGGAAACCGAGACCGUAGGUACAGAGAGGACAGGGAUGCAACCUGACAAAGAUGAACUUCUGAAAGAGCAUAAGACGACAAAUGACUUAGGCUCAAACGAACCAACAAAUGAAGGAAUUACCGCCACUUUUUCUCACAGUGUAAAGAUAGACAAAAGAGAAGAGCCAGAUAAGAAGAGAAUUGAACCUCUAUCACCAAAUAUUUUGUCUACCGUAGCUCUGUUUCAGUCCUCGGCUGACUCUUCUGGUUCCCGAGAGUGGGAUAAAUCUCUAAAAACUCCCAUCAGGACCCACAAAAUCAAUGCGGGAUCAAUGACGGCCCUGCAGACUGGAGAACAAAUCAUGAAAUCACCCGUUUCAUCAACACCAGAAGAACAAACCCAGGCUCCCGUUAAGGUCUCAGAGCUGAAGAAGAGAUUCGAACAUUAGAUCAUCACAAAUCAAGCAUACUGAAGCGAAAUUAUACUGAAGGACUGAAAAUGACUUUUUUAGAAUGUCAAUUACAAGCCUACAUGAAACAACACUUGCACCCUAUUUUGAUUCUUGUGAGGCAACAUUGCAGAGUCAAGUUCGAUAGGUGUUCCAUACUGAACUUUGAGAUUGUGGAAGGUUAUUUGUCUCAUGCACCUGUUUGUUAAAACUUAACACUGACAUCAGUCAAUAUCGAUUCAGUUUGGUGAAGGAUUGCUUUUCCCUUUGGAAUAAUGUACACUGAACGUGCAUUAAAGUAAUCAGGUCGAUUUUAACUUUCAUUGUAGCUAAAUGCAGUAUGUUAUCAAAAUAAACUGAUAAAUGCACCAAUUCUGACCA
ensembl:lncRNA